rnacentral:lncRNA from 1 species
UGGUAUUCAACCUGGGAGGUAGGGGCCCAUUAGCAGGAUGCCUUGUCACUUUGCUCAGUUUUUUUUUUUUUUUUUUCCUUUUCGCCAAUGAAUCCAGCCCUCCUCAGCCUUCAAUGUGUCCAUGUGCCUAAUUUCUCCUGGUUGUGACACAAAAACCUGGAUUUAGCUAAACUAAGGAGCAAAACUUCUACAUCAGUUUGGUGGCACAUCUGGGGAUCAAGGAAGGGUUUCUGAUAUCUUUGAAGAUUGUGACACUGGAAUAAAGGAAAACAUACAGGACUCAUGAAGAGCUGACAUGUUCGUGAAUAUCAAGCAAAACAAGAGUUAAUGGAAUGGACUGAACUAAUAGAAAA